UACGGAGGGGGCUAGCGUUGUUCGGAAUUACUGGGCGUAAAGCGCACGUAGGCGGCUUUGUAAGUUAGAGGUGAAAGCCCGGGGCUCAACCCCGGAACUGCCUUUAAGACUGCAUCGCUUGAAUCCAGGAGAGGUGAGUGGAAUUCCGAGUGUAGAGGUGAAAUUCGUAGAUAUUCGGAAGAACACCAGUGGCGAAGGCGGCUCACCGGCCUGGUGUUGACGCUGAGGUGCGAAAGCGUGGGGAGCAAACAGG
rnacentral:rRNA from 1 species